rnacentral:lncRNA from 1 species
UAAAAUAGAUUUGGGGUGGUCGUGGAGCACUGCCCCUCCAGAUUGGGCGUUUGGGGGUGAAGGUUGUAAAAAGGUUGGAAGGAAAAAUAUCUCUGGUCUCCUCAAACUUUAACUGUAACCUCACCAAAUUAUCCCUACAGACGGAGCGUGCUUACCAAAAGCAGCCUACAAUCUUUCAAAACAAGAAACGUGUUUUGCUGGGAGAAACUGGCAAGGAAAAACUCCCUCGGUACUACAAAAACAUCGGUCUAGGCUUCAAGACGCCCAAGGAGGUACAGGACCCUCCCAACAGAUGAGAUUUCAUGCAACCCUGCACGUGUGGGAGCACAGCCACCCCGCCCUCUUCCAAGUGGCUGCCCAUAGGGCCCCUGGGAAUUGUAGUUUGGGCCCUGAGGCUUCAACCUUGGUUCUGUUUAGGAAGUGGUAGUCCAAACCACACUUUCUUAUCUGCACAGGCCAUCGAGGGCACCUACAUAGACAAGAAAUGCCCCUUCACUGGUAAUGUCUCCAUCCGAGGACGGAUCCUGUCUGGUGAGUGAGAAGUAAAAGGGUGCAUCUUGGUGGCCUGAGUCCAGGGGUGCUGGCAUGUGAUGUCUGUUCUCACGAUGGUCUUCAGAUGUCCUCCAGGGCACUGCUGAGACAGCCACUUGGCGAAGCUGAUGCCAUAAAUGGAGCUUCUCAGGAGCCCCACUCAACUGAUUUCUACCUGCUAACACCUUUUUUUUUUCCCCAGAGUUGGGGACCGAACCCAGGGCCUUGCGCUUCCUAGGCAAGCGCUCUACCGCUGAGCUAAAUCCCCAACCCCCUGCUAACACCUUUAUGUUGCCCUCUCCCAGGUGUUGUGACGAAGAUGAAGAUGCAGAGGACCAUUGUCAUCCGCCGGGACUAUCUCCAUUAUAUCCGAAAGUACAACCGCUUUGAGAAGCGUCACAAGAACAUGUCUGUGCACCUGUCCCCCUGUUUCAGGGACGUCCAGAUUGGCGACAUUGUCACUGUUGGAGAGUGCAGGCCUCUGAGCAAGACUGUUCGAUUCAAUGUGCUCAAGGUCACCAAGGCUGCUGGCACCAAGAAGCAGUUCCAGAAGUUCUGAGGGGGGACUGUAGCCAAU